rnacentral:rRNA from 1 species
UUGGUGAAACCAGCGGAGGGAUUCAUUACAGAGUUGCAAAACUCCCUAAACCAUUGUGAACGUUACCUAAACCGUUGCUUCGGCGGGCGGCCCGGGUCCUGCCCGGCGCCCCUCGGCCCUCGCGGGCGCCCGCCGGAGGAAAACCAAACUAUUGCAUUGUAUGGCCUCUCUGAGUCUUCUGUACUGAAUAAGUCAAAACUUUCAACAACGGAUCUCUUGGUUCUGGCAUCGAUGAAGAACGCAGCGAAAUGCGAUAAGUAAUGUGAAUUGCAGAAUUCAGUGAAUCAUCGAAUCUUUGAACGCACAUUGCGCCCGCCAGUAUUCUGGCGGGCAUGCCUGUUCGAGCGUCAUUUCAACCAUCAAGCCCCGGGCUUGUGUUGGGGACCUGCGGCUGCCGCAGGCCCUGAAAUGCAGUGGCGGGCUCGCUGUCACUCCGAGCGUAGUAGUUACAUCUCGCUCUGGGCGUGCUGCGGGUUCCGGCCGUUAAAAGCCUUAUUUACCCCAAGGUUGACCUCGGAUCAGGUAGGAAGACCCGCUGAACUUAAGCAUAUCAAUAAAGCGGAGG